UAGGGAAUUUUCGUCAAUGGGGGGAACCCUGAACGAGCAAUGCCGCGUGAGUGAAGACGGUCUUCGGAUUGUAAAGCUCUGUUGCGAGAGAAAAAGGACAGGCAGAGGGAAUGCUGUUUGUUUGAUGGUAUCUCGCCAGAAAGUCACGGCUAACUACGUGCCAGCAGCCGCGGUAAUACGUAGGUGGCGAGCGUUAUCCGGAAUGAUUGGGCGUAAAGGGUACGUAGGCGGCCAGAUAAGUCUGGUGUGAAAGGCUGCAGCUCAACUGCAGCACUGCACUGGAAACUGUCCGGCUGGAGUGCAGAAGAGGGCGAUGGAACUCCAUGUGUAGCGGUAAAAUGCGUAGAUAUAUGGAAGAACACCGGUGGCGAAGGCGGUCGCCUGGUCUGCAACUGACGCUGAAGUACGAAAGCGUGGGGAGCAAAUAGG
rnacentral:rRNA from 1 species